UUUUCAAUGACGAGUUUCAACUCAUGACUUUCGUUCUUCUGAGCUUUCUGAAGCAACUUGCGUUUCUGAGACAGA
rnacentral:snoRNA from 1 species